rnacentral:lncRNA from 1 species
ACAAAGAAUGUGAAUCAUUAAUUUAUGAAAGAUUUUGAAAAAGCCCACCAAAUUCAAUAUAAUUUAAAUUACCUGCUAAAAUUUCCAAUUAAUUCUCAAAAGCCUUACAAAACGACGUCGCUUGGUUCGUGACAUAUGUGUGAUAGAUAUACACUGUAAAAGGAACAUGUGAUAGAUAAAAUGUUGUCAUAGAUUUAUGAUAGGGGUUACAAUGACAGAUGGAAACUCUGUCAUAAAAGGGGUCGGAUGAUAGAUAUUCUCUGUCAUGGUAGCCCUUUUUCUAGUAGUGAGAGUUCUUAACAAUGGUGGCUGGAGGUUGAAGAAAGCCUCAACCUUAUUGUAUAUGUGUUUUUGUUAUAAAUGAGAAAAUAGAACAUGAGCGCUUUUAUAUGGAGUGUCUUGGGAUGUCCGAUUUUUAUUAGUCUAUCCUGCGGAUAUUCAUGUCCUUUGGCUCGUAUAACUAUUUGGAGCAUUGGAAGCUGGUUGGAGAGCAAGUUGAUGCAUCAUUUGUGUAUUUUGUCCACACUUACGCGUAUUAGACAUUGGCAGGUAGUCCCACACACUUUGGUGUGGCAGGUAUGGACAGAUGGUCCAAACUAUCGUGAUGAACUAAUUUUUGGCUUCUUUUGCAGGUAAAAUAUUCCUCAAUGGAUUCUUAGCUAGAGAAUCAGUUAUUCUUUUUGGGUGAUGGAGACAUCUCGCGCGGCUGAUAUUUUAUUCACUUUCUUUUAACUAUUCCUCCUUUAAUAUGGCGUAUUCCACAUACCAAUUUUAUUACCUGAUGUACCCAACAUAGGUCAAUCUUCCCUUUGAUGACUUUGCAAACUCUACAUUGACACAUGUUGUUCUGUCGUUAAACUUCUAUUUUUCCCCCUAAAUAGUAUUGAUUUUAUAUUUAUUUCAUAUUUAUUAUGUUUUAUUUGAUAAGUAGUUAGUUGUUUUACAUUUAUAGUAGUAAGAUUAUUGUAGAGCUUUUAUUUUUCCAUGUUAAAGAUGAUAAUUCUGCUAUAAAAUCCGUCUGGUGUAAAGAAACACUCAAACAACAAUAUUGACAUUAAAUAAUUUCUUGUUACUGAAUGACAGUAUCAACUAAAUUUCUUUUCGUAUAAUAGAAAGUUAGAUAUAAGGUCUAGUCAAAAUAUAUUUUAAGAAGAAACAAGCAACACUAAGAGCAAAUUUUAACAAAAGUCGCAUAAAUAUUUUUUUAUAGAUUUUGUUUCAAAUUGAGUAAUUAUUAAUUUAUAUAGUACAUGGGUCCUAUUAUAAAAUAUAAUUUUUUAAAAAAAUAUUAUUUUAUCAUAUUAGUCUUAAAUCGUGAUCAAUAAAAAUUAUUAUUUAAUUAAAAUUAUUAAUUUAUCGAGUAUCUAAUGUAUAGUCAAAUCUAAACAUCUAUACUCCGAAGACGAGGAAGAGGAAAAUAGAUAGAGGGAGUGGGUCAAGGAGUCGAGUCCCUCUUGUAUUCAUAAUUCAAAAUAUGUAAAUUUGCUAUUGUAAUACUAAUAAGGAUGAUUUACAUAUUCUUGAAUCCCUUCAUAUCCAUUGUUUUCAAAUGUACAAGAUUCGUCAUAGAAUUGGCACUUAAAUAAUAGUUGACUGAAUUGAGCGUAUACCCAUUUGAAUCGGCAAUUGACAAAGAGUGUUGCUAUUUGCCCCGAAAUCGCGCCCCGAAAUCGCACCCCGAAAUUAAAACGCACCGUUUGUUCUGAGUUAAUCACGUGUCUUGCUUUAUAAAGGAAAAAGUUGGGGAAAGAAAAAGCAAAAGUUGUUUCUUCACGUUUCUUCAGUCAAACACGUGGGCCUAACUUGUUAAAAAGUUGGGGAAAGAAAAAGCAAAAACAACGUUUCUUUGUUAUUUCCUUUGAAAUUUUGUCUCCACACGUGUUGUCCAAUUUUGUCUUCACUUUCCAUUUCACUUCUCUAGUUAGCAGCACUCUGAGCUUUCACUUUCCAUUUCACUUUCUUGUUGUCAAAUUUUGUCUUCACUUUCCAUUUCACUUCUCUAGUUAGCAGCACUCUGAGCUUUCACUUUCCAUUUCACUUUCCCGUAAAGCAAGGUAAACAUUUUGCUUUCACUUUUCAUUUCUCUUUCCAGUUAGCAGCACUCUUUUUCUUCAAGCAGAUUCAUCACUUAAGUCAUUCAGAUCUGAACUCAACUCUUGUUCGAUGGUUCGUUCUCUUGCUCUCAUUCAAUUUUCAUUAUUGUGUUUGAUGCAUGUAUCAUCAUCUGAUGGGUGGUUUUUAUGCUGGCUUCUUGUGGUAGAGGUAGCUUUAUUUAUUUAAUUAUUUUUGGUUAAUUGAAUUAGUUAUUGAGUCGGAUACUGUGGGUGUGGUUGCUAUAACAUUUUGUAAAUUACAAAAAUUAAAUUGGACAGAUUUUACAUAUUUCGCUUGCUAUCAAGUCGGAUACUGGAUUUGGAUGUUUGGAAUGAUGAAUAUCGGUUGUGCUUUGCUGCUACUGUGCUUAGAUCCUUAAUUAUCUGUGUUAUGCUUGUUUUGGUCAUUUCUUCUGGGGAGGUGGUGUUCUGUUUCUUCAGGGUUGAAACAGAGGGUUGCUUGGUGUUUGGUUAUGAACAUAGUGAUUUUUUGUUUGACUUACUCUUGCUUCUUCUAUUUUUUAUUAAUUUUUUAUUAGUUAAAAAUGUUUAGAUUGGUAUGUUUUUGAUGUAUGCCUGAAUUGAUUGGCUUAUUUGAGUUUGAUUAAAAUGCUAAAUAAAUGGUGGAAGCAAGGAAUUGAAAAUUUGAUUAUAGUUUGUUAUUAUUGUAGGAACUUGAUGUAGUUAUAUUUGAAUGGACGAAUAUUGCUUCAGUACAUGAAUCAUUAUGGGCAACAGAUACCAUGCUUGUUUAGCAACAUGAGCAACCAAUCUCGAGAGAGCUUUUCUCAUGUUUCUAUUUUAUUUUCCUCCAGCCCUAGGAAUUGGACACUUUGACACCCUGGGAAUUUAAUUUCUGUUUUAUUUGUGUGUAACUGGUGCUGUAAUUGUUGUAUGUUCUAAUUUAUUUUCGAUUUUUUUUUCUGUUUCGUAGUUUUGGAAAUCAAUUAACCACAAUGUCAACUAGCACAAGUGAAAUUCGAAACUCACAGCAGCUAUGUAACGGAUGCGGUAAUUACAUGGAGUUAUUAACGUCACGUACAACAAAGAAUCCAAAUUGUAAAUUUUGGCUUUGUAAAAGAUGUAAUAAUUUUCAAUGGGCUGAAGAUCGUAAACCAAGCGAAGAGAAAAUUGAUUUGUUAGUGGAGGAGGUUAGAAAGUUAGCAUUUGAGAUUGAGUGUUUGUCCGUUAAAUUCCAAUUAUUGUAUGAUAACGAACUUCGAAGGAGACAGACACCAAAAUAUGAUUACAUUAAAAUACUUGUAAUUGUUGUGAUAUGUUAUCUAUUCAAGUGUUAUUUUUAAGUUUUAUUAUUUUGUACUAUGUAUUAAUUUGCAAUUGAUUAAUUGAUUAGUUGAUGUCAAUUGUUUCUUUAUCCCAUGGCAAUUUCUAGUUUUGUGAAUUUCCAAGAAAUUUCCUUCGUGUUUUCACUUGUUUAUUUUGGAACUAGCUAAGAAAUUUAUUGACAUAAUGUACAUGCGGAAUUUGAACAUAACGUUCUUGCAUGGCAAAAUCUUCAUACUUGAAAUUGUGAUAUUCAAGAAAGCAAAAAAAAAAAAAAAUCACAUUUUGGCUUCAUUUAUUCAUGCUUUCAUGGUCUUUUCAACUGAUUCUGAAAUAGAGCAAAAGAAGAAAAAUUGUCAAUUUAAAAUGCUGUAGAAUAAAUGAGUCUUUGUCCAGCACAACUAAAUAGGAUCAAAAUCAUACAGCCGUUCUUAGUUUUGGCACCAAUUAAAAUUUUAGCCUUCUGUGGGGCAAAAUAAUACAUCAAAACACAAGCUAGUUUUAAUCAUGUGUUGGGAUCAUUUGCUGAAAAUUCCGUCUGAUUGGCAUCCUCAAAAUCUUGUUGUAAAAAUUGUUGGAAGUUUACAUGAGGAACUCUUCCAUAAUUUAUCCAAGGCUGAUAGUAAGGGGGGAAAAAAACAUGUUGUGGGAGUGGGUGUUAAAAGAAAAUGUCCAUUAAAUUAAUAAACAAAUGACAAUAAAACAACACUAACAUGUAUAUAUAAAAAAAAAUUUACCAUAGCCAUAUUGUCUGAUUGUGUUGGGAUUGCAGUAGCCGCCUGAGAAGAUGAAUCAUGUGCCUCCAAGUGCUACGAAAGUAAGCAAGAAACAUUUAAAUUUUAUUCAAUUUAUAUGAAAUUAAUUUGCAUUGAAUUAAUUAAAAAUGAAUGCAAUAGAAUUACCUCUGCAGUUGUACUCAAUGAAGUAUUGUUCGACUUAUGUUUUGGCUUUUUAAAUUGUUUUUGCUUUCUUUGAGAAGGUGGCCGACCUUUACGAUGAGAUACUACUGGAUCCUGAAUGAUUUCCGCACAACUUCCUGACCCACCAGCAGCAGUUACAUCUUCGCUUUGACUUCGAACAUUCAACGAUACAUCCUUAAUUGCCUUUUCAAUCCAAGUCAAAACACUUUUAUGACUUUCUUCAUGUUUUGAAGCAACAUCAGCAACAUCAUAAAAAGCAGCACACUCUUCUUUAUAUCGCUGGUGUUCAAUGCUCGAGCUUCUCACAUCAUAACUGACUUUCACUCGACUAUAACAUCUCCGCACAUCUUUCAUCCAUCUCCGUAUAAUAUACUUCUCAGGAAGAAAUGUUACACGGGUACGUAUCAUCACUGCAAUGGCGUGUCUACAAACAAUUCCUCUACAUUCAAACAUUGCACACGCACAACGAAUUUCACCGUCGUCCCUUUCAAAAAUAACUUGAAAAGUCUUCUCUUUACUCUUUCCAUCAUUUUCGAUGACUUCAUAUUUUGAUCCCCCACAACUGAAAACCUCACUACAUCUUAUCCAUCAGCUGCUGUUGAAAUUCUUGAAACUUGGAAAUAGUAUAUACUUCCUCAACUUGUUUUUCCAUUGCGAAAUUAGUACGGCAUGACAUCCGUUGGCUGAAGCACCUAGCAUCUGCUUGCCACUCUUUUUCAAUUUUACUUUCCAUUGCUUUCUCAUAUUUCUCCACAAAUUGCUUCAAAGUUGUUUUUGAAUUAACAUACCCAUCAAAAAAAGCAUUCAUACUCUCAUUACGUUGAGUGGUUGACAUGCCAGCCCAAAAAGUUGUUUUCACAAAACAUGGAAUCCAACGAUAUCUUUCCUCAUAUAAACCAUUUAACCAUUGAUUAUCAGCAAUAUCAUAUUUAUCUAACAUGUCAUGCCAAGCUUCCUCAAAUUCAAUAGGAGUCUGUGAAUCAUAAACAACAGCAUGCAAUGAAAAUCUAAUGGCAUGAUAUUCUGCAUACCUUCCCAACUUCUCGGGCACCUUUUUCAAAAUAUGCCACAAACACCAUCGAUGCCUAGUAUUUGGAAAAACAAUCUCAAUUGCAUUUUGCAUUGCUCUGUCUUGGUCUGUGAUGAUUCCAAGGGGAGGAGAGCCGAACAUACAUGAUAGCCAUGUGUGAAAUAACCACGUAAACGUCUCUGUAUCCUCAUGCGAAAUCAACCCACAUCCUAACAAAAUAGACUGACCGUGAUGAUUAACUCCAACAAAAGGAGCAAAUGGCAUGUCAUAUUUAUUCGUAAGGUACGUGGUGUCAAAUGUAACAACAUCUCCAAAGUCUUUGUAGGCUGCCCUACUUCUUGGAUCUGCCCAAAAUACAUUGUUUAACCGACCCUCCUCAUCCAAGUCAAGACUGAAGAAAAAUCCAUCAUUUUCUGCUUGCAUUUUCUGAAAAUAUUUCUAAAUUGCAGCCGCAUCCCCUUCUCCAAGCCUUAAUCGCCUUGCUUUAUCAACAUAAUUUCUAGCAUCUUUUUCUAAGAAUGCGACAUUUUCAUAGCCACCAGCCUCAACGACAAUAGACUUGAAACUUUGAGCCAUUCUAAUUCCUGCUUCUUCAUUUAUUUCCAGUUGCUUUUUUACAUAAGGACUAAUGGUACGGUUGCAUCGAUAAUACCUACUCUUGCUCGGACUUAUAGCAUGGUUGUGUUCGAGGACAAAAUUUCCAAUUAUCCAUUUUCCACCAACAAAACGUCCUCCAAUUUUAGCAUUGCAUCCAAUUUUCUGAUUAGGUUGAAGCCGCAAAACCUGAUUGGAUUUGCCUUUGGACUUGCCGUUUCGCCCGCAACUAAAUGUCACAUAUCUCAUAUUCCCGUCAUCCCUUUUUUUACAAGAUCUCCGCAUCACUGGAAAUCCCUCUUGUUGGCCAUAAGCUUUGUAAUAUUCAAACAUUUCAUCUGGACUAUUAAAACACAUCCCAACCGUAGGCUCUUCCACCAAAUUUUCAUUAUUUCCUUCAAAAUUAGCCUCCUGUAAAUCUUGAAAUUCCUCUACUUCAUCAACCUCCACUUCAUCAACCUCUAAUUCAUCAAUCUCGUCCAUUAUUGCUGCAAAUUUAAUAAAUUAUACCAAAAUUGAUUAUUAUUAAUUACUUAUCCCUAAUUUAUUAAGUUUAUAAACAAAUAAAAAAUAAAUAUAUAUUAUUAAUUAACGAUUCAGCAAAUUAAUUAUUAUUAAUUACUUAUCCCUAAUUCAUUAAGUUUACAAACAAAUAAAAAUAUAAAUAGAUUUUUUUAGUUAACGAUUCAGCAAAUUAAUUAUUAUUAAUUACUUAUCCCUAAUUCAUUAAGUUUACAAACAAAUAAAAAUAUAAAUAGAUAUUUUUAAUUAACGAUUCAGCAAAUUAAUCAUUAUUAAUUACUUAUCACGGCUCAACAAAUUGAAAUAAAUAAAAUACAAUAAUUUACAUACAAAUGCUCACGGUUAAGUAAAUUUAAAUAUAAAUACUCAUGGUUGAGCUCACAAAUUAAAAUAAAACAUCUCAAGAUUCAUAAAUUAAAAUGAAGCAACUCAAUAAAUUAAUGUAGAAAUAAUAAAUACUUACAAGUUUCGUAAUGUAGAGUUUUGUAAAGCAAUGAACUCCCCUCUCUUUCAGAUCUGCCUGAAUGCAAAGUAAAUAGCGAAGAAGGAAAUGAGUAACAAAGAAGAAGGAAAUAACAAAGAAACGUUGCUUUUGCUUUUUCUUUCCCCAACUUUUUAGCAAGUUAGGCCCACGUGUUUGACUGAAGAAACGUGAAGAAACAGCUUUUGCUUUUUCUUUCCCCAACUUUUUCCUUUAUAAAGCAAGACACGUGAUUAACUCAGAGCAAACGGUGUGUUUUAAUUUCGGAGUGCGAUUUCGGGGCGCGAUUUCGGGGCAAAUAGCUUUUUCCAUUGACAAAUGGCAUCCUCAAAGACUGAAUAGGCAGAAUUCUUCAUGACGCACCAAUUUAUCACAUAAUUUUGAAUUUUUAAUCUAUGAAUAUAGAAUCUUCCAUUUCAUAACACAACAGUUAAAAGAUUUUAAAAAAAAGAAACUUUUAAUCUAUGGUCAAGAACUGGAUGCUUAAAAAUCAAAAGUGAAAUAAAGAACUGACACUAGUAAAUUGAAAUGUACAUUGCCUAGAAUUGAUGGAGCAUGCACGGGGAUAUGUGCGUAUUAAAAAAAAUGCCACUUGUUCAACUUUGACUGCAGUGGUGUUCCAUUUGAUUAAAGCCAAUUUUUCAACAAUUUUAAUUUAUUUAAUUUUAUAUUAACUAUUUAUAUUAUUUGAUGGAUACAAAAUUCGUGUUUACGUUUUCAUUUUUCUACCUAUUCAAUGUUUUUUUAUGUUGUAGGUCUGACUAUUAAUAUUAAUUAAUUAUCAAUUUGAGUCAUAAAAUGACUUGAUCAACUCUACCUAACCUUGUUUAUUUACUCAAUUAUUCCAAAUUUUGUUUAUGCCCUAUCCAGCAGGAAUUUCAAACUUGUGGUACCAAGAACAGUGAGUCAUUCUCCUUUGCAUGCAAAUGCAUUUUGUAAGCAUGAGAUCAUCAUCAAUUCAUCAUAUCAUCACCAAAUGCUAACAAUUAUGUGGUUUUUUGGAAGUUCAAAAUCUCGUUCUGACCUUUCUGAAAUGCCCACAGCCUAAGUCAAAAUUUCCCCCGUUUAUUUAUUUUUUUUAGUGUUAAUAUUAUAUACAAUAAGAGUACUAAUAUUUGGCCCCUCAAUUUAUCUCACUAAAUUAUUUUUUUUAUUGAAAAAUAAAUAUUUUUUUCAAACUUGCAUUAAGUUAACUUUUCAUCUCUCACAUCUCUCUCUCUCUCUCUCCCUUUUAUGAUUUGCCAAUUGAUCAAAUAUUAACUUUUAAUCAAAUCGCAAAUUGAAAUUAAAUAAUUUCUUAUGUGUAACACAUAAUCAAACCAAUAUCAUCAAUAACAAUAAAACCCACCACUUGGUGGUGGUGAUCAUAUUUUUGAUGAAAAUAGGUGGUGGGGGGACGGUUAUGCUAGAAAGAAAGGGGGGGGGGGUGUAUUUUCUUUUUAAAAUUUUUCAUAGGGAGAAUUCUUGAACGUAGUAUAACAAAUUGAAAAAUGGGGGAUGCUAAGACAAUUUGAGGGGGUCAAAUAUCAUUACUCAUACAAUAUAACUAAAACCUAACUAGCUCAAAGUAUAGCUGAAACCCACAAAGCCUAGGACAAGAAAUUGAAAAGAAAAACUCCCAUUACCACUGGGGAGGCAAAGUAGGUACUAACUAACCGAUCUAAGAAGUUGUUAGCUAAUUCUUCUCUUGUUAGUGCUACUAUAAAAAAUUAAUAAAGGAAAAAGGAUAUUUAUACCCUCAAAGUUUAAAAAAAUUAUCACAAAAGAACCCAAAAUUUUAAAAAAAGAACACAAAGUCCCAUUUGUGACCAUAACACCUUUUAAUACAGUAAUUAGAAAAUUGACUUUAAAGUUUUUUAAUUAAUACAAAUUUAAUAUAAAUAAUAUUAUCUAUAUAAUAGACUAAUAAUAUUAAUUUUUUUGACAUUUAAAAUAAUAUUAAAUUAUCAAAUUAUUAUAUAUAUAUAUAUUUUAAUAAGUCUUUGGGUUAAAUAGAUUUUACAAUUAACAAAAUAUCCUCUAUUAAUGAUAUUAAAAUUAUUUUUUAAUAAUGUUCAAAAUAAUUUUUAUUUAUUUAUUUUAAUAUUAUGUUUCUAUUUAUUAUUAAAUAUUAAUUUAAUAUCAUAAAAUAAGUCUAAUAGAUUGUAAAAUAUAAAAAUGUUGUUUGAAUAUUAAAAUUAUUUUAAGAUGUAUAUAUUACUACGUUUAUUUUAAUGCCACAUUUCUAUUUAUUAUAAAAUUUUGGGGUCAGUUUUUUGGGUAGAAAAAGGAGUUUUAAUAUUCCUUAUUGAAAAUUUAGGGGUUUUUGUGACUAUUUUUUUAAACAUUAAGGAUAUAAUCCUUUUCCAUUAAUAAAUUCAAAGAAGUGAUGUUAUGGAUGCUCAAAAAAAUACUUACUUGAAAAUAAAAUAAUUCUGUAGGGUGAUGACGAAUUUCUUGACUACUAUUGAUGAGAAUUUGACUUGACUAGCUAGAAAUAUAAUGAAGUAUUUUUUUCUCCCUUCCUCUAUGACUCCAUCCACCGCGUUCGUAUGAAGCUACGAAGAAUACUGGAAAAACCCUACAAAUAAAAUCAUUUUUUUUACCUUUCCAGAAAACAAUGCUUGUACGCUCACUAGUUACGUCGUCCUGUGCAUAAUUUUACAAUAAAAUACAAUAAAAUAGAAUGCUUCACUAGAUUUGAAAGUCUCUAACAAACGUAAACAUUUUUACCACUUCAACUCUUUCGUUUUCAACAUAAUUUUCCACAUUAAACCCUUAAUUGAACACAUUUCAUCACUCCUAAAUGAAAGCAAAAACUUUAUUUAAUUAUAAAAUUUAUAAAGAAAGAUAAACUAGCACAUCCCAUUAUCAAUAUCUUAUAAUUUAUGCCGCAAAAAGGCAAACUUAUUUCAGCAUUGGCUUCCAAGAAUUCUGAGAAUUCAACAUUCGCUUCUAUGAGAUGAAACCAUGCGUACCAUGUUAAAACAUGAAAGAUUAAUUAUUUUUUUAAUAUAAAAAAAUUAAAAUGGUGCACUUAAUUAAGUUAGUUUACCAAUAUCCCCUUAGUUGAUUGACAUUUCCUCUCAUUGUCCAUAAAGAAAAGGGUGAAAGAAAAUAAUUAGUGUGUGUCAUUUAGAAUAUUCAAGAGAUUAUUUCUUAUAGGAAUUGUGCAGCUAAUUGAACUUUAGUUAAAUGUUUUGCUUUUCCAUUUUGUUUAGAAUUGAGCAGUUAAGAAAAAAAAAUGUUUGUGGAUAAUUUAAACUUCUAUCAAUGAUAUUUUGAUGCAUACACUUCUUAAACUCAUGACACUCUUAACAUUAUAUUUUGUCAAACAUAUAAGGGCCCAUUCUCCUGUGUUGGAUGGAAUUAUCCACAAUUGUAGGCAUCAGAUUCUACGCAAUUUUUAAUUUAUUUCACUAACUCUCACUUUUCAAUUAAUACUUUUAUUCCAUCAUUGCGCUUAUUGAGAAAUAAAUAUUUUGUAUUAACUUUCAAGCUUUUAAUAGAUUAACCUCUCAUCUCUCACAUUCUUCUCUCAUCUCUCACAUCCUUCUCUCUCUCUCUCUCUCUCACUAUCUCUCUCUCUUUUUUAAGUGAUUCACCAUUUGAUCAAAUAUUAAUUUUUAAUUAAAUCCUAAAUUGAAAUUAAACAAAUUUCUAAGUUACCACACAAAUCAAAAUCAAUAUAACUAAUAACAACAAAACCCACCACUUAUUCACAAAAUUCAAUAAAACCCAACAUUAAAAUUCAUCAAAUAUUGGUGAAGGUGAUGGAUUUGCAUGGUCGAUUGAUGAUGAUGAAGAUAGGUAUAGGUGGUACUUGGUAGGGUUUAUGUUUAUGCUAAAGAGAGGGGAAAAAUAAAAUAUCUUUUUAUUUUAAAUAAGAGUAAUUUUGUAAAGUAAUAAGAUAAAUUAAAAAGUAGGGGCUAAUGAAAUAAGUUGAGAAAUAUCAUUAAAAAAAUAGAGACUGGUGAGAUAAGUUGAGGGGUCUUAUAUCAUUAUCAUUACUCAUACAAUGUAACUAAAGCGUCUAUAAAAGUUUAAUGAAAUCCCCAAAUAUGAAGGCCACCAAAGUCCAUCAAAGGAAAUGAAAGAAAAUACCCCACAGCAAUGGGGGAGGCUUGAAUCUUCGUCUUAGAGUCAUGAAGUAGUAAGUAAUCCAAAGAAGAAGUUGUUGGAAAAUUUUUCUCUUGUUAUUUCUACAAUAAGAAAUUAAUAGAUUAAAAGAAAAAAUAUACUAUGCUUGAAAUAAAAAAUUCUAAAGGGUGACGAGGCGUUUUUUGGCUGGCAUUGAUGAGAAUUUGACUUCACUACCUCGAAAAAUAAUGAAACAUUCUUUUCUCCCUCGCUCUAUGACUCUACCCAUCUUGUUCAUUGGAAGCUAAGAAACAUACAAGGAAAGAUCCUACAAAUAAAAUCGAAACUUUUAAUUUUUUUUUUUAAAGCAAUGCUUGCGUGCUUACUAUUUAGGUCGUCCUAUGCAUAAUUCCACAAUAAAAGAUCACGAGACUAGAGAUGGCAAAACCCCAGGCCGGGUCCGGGUAUUGCCAUGACCGGACCCUGCCCGGAUGCAACCGGUCCGGGUCCGGGUCCGGGCCGGGUUUUAAUCCGGGUACCCGGAUUUUAUAUUUUUUAAUAUUUUAUGUGUAUAUAUUUUUUAUUUUUUGAUAAUUUUAUAAGUUUUAAAUUUAUUUCAAUAAAAUUUGACAUGAAAAUAUAAACUUUAAGUGUUUAAAACUUUAUAUAUGUAUAAUAAAUAAGUCAAAUAAAUAUAAAAUAUUUAAAAUAAUAUAUAUUUUAUAAUUUUUUUUAAUAAAAUCCGGGUUCCGAGUUUAUCAAGUGAUGCCCAAGACCGACCCGGCUUCAUACUCGGGCCGGGUAAUACCCGGCCCGCAACACCCGGUACGGUCCGGGUCCGGACCGGGCGGGUAUUUUUGCCACCUCUACACGAGACUAACAAAACAUACAGGAAAAAGUCCUUCAAUACAUUUGAAAAUCUCCAACAAACGUAAACAUUUUUACCAAUUCAAUUCUUUCCUUUUCAUCAUAAUUUUCCACGUUUAACCCUUAACUAAACACGUCAUAGAUUAAUUUUCGCAUUUUGCUAUCGCCAUCACUCCUGAAUGAAAGCGAAAGCUUUAUUUAAUAAUCUCGUUUACAGACAAACAAAAACUAGCAUAUCCCAUUCAAUAUCUUAUAAUUUAUGCUGCAAAGAAGCAAACUUAUUUCAGCAUUGGCUUCUAAGAAUUCAACAUUGGCUUCUAUGAGAUGAAACCAUGCAUAUCAUGUGAAAAGAUGAAAGAUUAUUAGUUUUUUCUUAUCAUAAAAAAAAAAUAAAAAUAGUGCAUGUAACUAUAUUUUUUUUUUUUUAAAGUAAGGAGGUGGGGAAAGUCUAAAUAUGUUUUUAUUUUUUCUCCCUUACUAUCCCCAAGACUUGAACCCGAGCGUUAGCUGCUACAAGUUUGAUGGUGUUACCAACCUAACCACACCGGAGGGUAGGACGACCUAAAUGGUGAGUGGUAAAACAACUAAAGAGUUAUUGGCAAACUAACUUCGUUACAUCCGAAUUGGAAUUAUGGAGAAGUGGCAAAACAAGUUGAUUUGAGGUUUGCCGCAACCGUACCUUUUUCAAGAAAAAAAUUAAUUGGAAUAUCAAAGUAUGAUGUAUAUGAGUUAGAUUUGACUUUUAAUAAAUGCUGAAGAAGAAAAAUCGCACAUCAUAUAAGGGUAAUUCUGGUUGAGUCUUUAUUAUUCGUCGAAAAAAUUGAGAGACUAUAAAUUUGUACAAUGAAUCAAUUAAUCCUUUCAAAUUUGAGGUUAUGUCAUUCAAGUUCUUAAUUUAAUUUGUUGGUUGAAAGAGAUAGCAGCGCAGAGGUAAUUUCAGUAAAAAAUGAUCGGUCACAUCCUUAUUCUUUAUUUUUUGAUGGUGUCAAAAUUUAAAACUAACUAUUAUGGGGAAUAUAUAUAUAUAUAUAUAUAUAUAUAUAUAAGUAACCUAAAUUAAUGUUACAAAAAGGGCUGUCCCAAUUUUCCAAAAAGUAUGGGAACUAUGAAGGUAACAACUGUCGAUUUUGGUGGUGUCAUGGUGUGCACGGAAGCAAUAGGAGUGCACCGGUUUACUUUAAUUAUGGAAAUUCGAUUAAAGAAUCCUUUUUUGUUCUUUUUAAUUUACUUUGAAAAUUUAAUGAGCCAUUUCUUGUUUUUUGAAUUUCAGUUUACCUUUAAUAUUGUUAGGGGGUUUUGUUAGUUUGAAUUUAAUGCUUAUAUUACUACUACUACUACUAUUAUCAUCAUCAUCAUCAUCAUUAUUUGAUAAGAAUGCUUCUAUUAUUUAGUUUAAUAAUUAUCAUAUUUUAUAGAUGUGGUGGAAUUAUUUGGAAAAUAAAUUACAUUUCGAUGUUUAAUUUCAAGAAUUAUGAUUGUUAUUUAUUUUAAUGGUGCUUUUCAUAUUUGAAUUAGUUUAUAAUAACUGAUUAAAAAUUUUAUUUACUGCAGAAUUUUGUUUUCUGUUACUCAAAUUAAUAAAUAGGCGGUUAGACUUAAAAACUAAAAAGCACUAAUAUGCACGAGGAUAAAUCUGUACUCCAAAUCACUAAUAACCUAAUUAUGAUAUAUAAGGGUAUAGUUGUCAUCUUAUGUAUAAUUUAGCAUUUUCACUAACUUUUUUAAUGAAGAAAUUAAAUUGAAAACUUGAAUUAAUCUAUUCAUUAUAUGAAGCUAUGGUCUUUAAUUUUUUUUCCCCUACAAAUAAUAAGGACUGAACUACAAAGCUGAUUGGGAGUUUGCCCGCCGACUUACUUUUUUUUUUUAAUUAAUAAUUAAAAAAUUUAGUAUGAUUUUUACAUAGCUCUCUGGUAAAUUGACUAGCUUGAAAUCGCUCUCUUACUUGUGAAAGCCUUAAUUUAUCCCUCAUUUUUUUAAGGAGACAAAAAAAUAUUUCAUCAAUCCACCUCCAUUUUUCCCUUAUUUUUUGGGAAAAAAAUGGAAGUGACUUGAGGUUUUCAAAAGUAAAGGAAGUGAUUUGAAGAUAAUCAAUUCACAAGCGAGGGUAGUAAUCCAAAAUUUACCAAAAUGAGCUGGAUUUGACCAUUAAGUUUCAACCAAGACAAAUCGAACAUAAUGAUUAAAUUUGAAAUUAACCCUUCAUUCAUAUAUAUAAUUUAGGAUUAGGAUAUUUUCCUAGUAUUUUUAUCUCCUAGUCUUCCAAUCUAGUUGAAAAAAUUGGCUUAAAUGUAAAUAAAGUGAAGAAAAGCUGGUGUUAUUUUCAAUAUUAAAAUUUAGAUUCAAUCUUGACCACUUAUUUUACUAGGAGAGAAAAAAACAGCAAAGAGAAUUCUUGCCUUAUAAUUCAAAUAUUUUGUUUGUAUCCACUCUUAGUUUAUUUAUUUAUUUAAAAAAUAUUUGAAUGAUAACCAAAGUUGGUUGGUGUGAGUGGUUCGGCACUCUUACUCAUUAAGAGAGGUCAGGGGUUCAAGCCCUACUCUCGUAUAAAAUCACCAUUUUGGCCAGCACUUUACCCCUUACGGGCCGACCCGGUGCAAGCGGAGAUUAAUUUGGGUUGUGGUACGGGCUUAAAGGUACCUCCUACAAUUAGGGUCCACUCAAGAUCACCUCGUGGUUCAGACAAAAAAAAAAAAAAAAAAAUAGAGUUGGACUAUUGGCACCCCUCUAAUCUCCUUAUAAGACCCCAUUUUUAGUUAUAUUCAUUUUAUGUCCGAAAAUGCCCCUUUUUUUAGAUACACUUUUCUAAAUUCUCAAUUUUUAUUUGAUUUGUUCUAUUGUUAAAACUCAGAGUAUUAUUGUGCUAUUUUUUUCAUUAUUUUCAAUUUUAUUAUUACCCUACACACAAAUUAAAAAGUUAUAUGGGUGAUAAGUUUUUUAGUGUUAAUCAUUGGCUGAAAUAAUACCAAUUUCAAAUUAUAAUUUCAAAGCAAUUUUAAGUAUAAAAAUAUUUAAUCAAUAAGGAAUCAAAAGAGAACAAUAGAUUAUUCUAAAUUUGUAUAAUUUAUUUUAGUUAGAUAGGAUAUAAUUUUUUUUAAAGGAUUGAUUAUGAAUUAAGUAAUUUGCUGGAAAAAAAUUUAUGUGUUUAAUUUUCAAUUGUCUUUAAUUAUAAUUUUAUUUAAAGGGGGGUUUUGUUAGAAUAAUGCAGGGGUGCCAAUAGCUCGACUCAGAAAAAAAAAAUAUAUAUAUAUCUGAAUGAUCAAUGAAGAAAAUCAAAGUCUGUUCUAUGUACGAAGCUGUAUUCUUAGUAGAUACUGACAAAAUAAAUAUCAACUUCCACAAGCGCAGACGUAAUGAGUUUCAACACAGGUGAAACAAAUGAAAUUUCAUGCAUGACUAAAUGUGACCAUUAAAAUAUAUAUCCGGUUGCUAAACUGACAACCAUCUCUCUUCAUAAUGUUAUAUAUAUAUACACCCUCAGCCUCCUCCUCGUUCAGUCGAGAAUUGCCUUUUGCUAUGAUAGCCGUACGUUUUGCUAAUCCUUUUGAUAUGGAUAACCUCAGCCUCCUCUUCAGUGAUUUCCUUUCUCAUCUUGAAAAUAAUCCCUUUUUUGGAUCCAUUGUUUUGGUGACCACACUCGUUUCCCUUGUUGCACUAGCAAGCUUUCAGCUGAGUCCUCAAAAUCGUCUCCGGAAAUUUGUGAAGGAUAUGUUUUCAAUUGUCCAGAAUCAACUAUUCAAGGUAUAUGAUAAAAGCUCUUUCAUAUAUAUAUAUAGAUAUGUAUAUAUAUAUAAUGAGCAUAUAACAUUGUUUUCUAACUCACAUGAAUUCAAAUAGAUGAUUUAAUUUUUUAUCUAUUGGAUUCUUUUAAUGAUGAAAAAUUAAGUCGAAAAAAUAGGAAAAAUAAUGCUUUACGCUCGUGUGUGGUUGUCUCUAUCAUGCCCACAUGCGGAAAAAUGCUGUAAACUCUUUCACAGCUAUAUAAACUCGUAUAUGAUGCUGUAAAGUAUUAAGUAUUUUUGCAAAGUUGUAAAAAAGGGGUAUUUUCGUGAAUAUAUGCCUAACAUUUUGUUCAAAAUCCAGGGAUCCGAGAAAAAAAUAAAGCGGCUACCUCUGCCUCCAGGCCCUUCUCCAUGGCCAAUAGUUGGAAACCUUCCGGAAAUGUGGAGUAAGAAGCCAGCCUUCAAUUGGAUACAUGAUGUGAUGAAAGAACUAAACACGGAUAUUGCUUGCAUCCGCCUGGGAAAUGUUCAUGUUAUUCCAGUGACUUCCCCAGAAAUUGCCCUAGAAGUUCUAAAAGACAACGACUCAGUUUUCGCAACACGGCCGCUCACAAUGGGGACAGAGUAUUCUAGCCGAAGAUUCUUGUCAAUAGCUGUUGUGCCAUUGGGUCAGCAGUGGAAGAAAAUGAGAAAAGUGGUUGCUUCUCACGUGUUAUGUUCAGCACGACUUCACUCUUUACUCUUUAAGAGAAGAGAAGAAGCUGACAAUCUUGUUAGAUUCGUUUAUAGUCAAUGCUGCAAACGUGGAUCUGGUUCGGUUGUCAAUGUAAGACAUGCGGCCCGUCAAUAUUGCGGAAACGUUAUGAGGAAUAUGAUGUUUAACAGGAGAUAUUUUGGUGAAGGUAAUGAAGAUGGAGGGCCUGGAUUUGAAGAAGAAGAACACGUUGAGUCACUCUUCAUUGUACUCCAAUACCUUUAUGCAUUCACUCUAUCAGAUUACCUUCCCUGGAUGAGAGUAUUCGAUUUAGAAGGCCAUGAAAAACUUAUAAGUAAUGCUAUUAGAACUGUCUCCAAGUAUCAUGAUCCCAUCAUAGAGGAGAGAAUUCAACAACGGAGGCAUCAUCGUGGGAAUUACAAGAAGGAAAGUGAUGAUCAUCAGGACUUGCUGGACGUCCUUAUUUCAGCAAAGGAUGAAAGUGGGAGGCCAUCAUUAUCAGUAGAUGAGAUCAAAGCUCAAUGCAUGGUAAGAUAUCUAGUAAAUUUAAUUAGGACAUUUGUAUGUUUUAAUCACCUUAUUAAUGCUCUUGAAUUUGAUUACAAAUUAACUUAUGAAUCUACAUAUCUACUCCAUGUGUAGGAUCUGAUGCUUGCAACUGUGGAUAAUCCAUCCAACGCUCUAGAAUGGGCCCUGGGGGAGAUGAUCAACCAGCCUGAAAUUCUUAAAAGAGCAACAGAAGAAGUAGAUAUGGUUGUUGGAAAAGAGAGACUUGUUCAAGAAUAUGACAUCCCACAGCUCAAUUAUGUCAAGGCUUGCUUAAGGGAAGCGCUUCGACUUCAUCCCGUUGCACCAUUUAACCUACCUCAUGUGUCAACUCGCGAUGCCACAAUCGCCGGCUACUUCAUUCCCAAAGGCAGCCACGUUCUGCUAAGUCGACUAGGGCUUGGUCGGAACCCUAAUGUUUGGAAAGACCCCUUAAAAUUCAUGCCGGAACGUCACAUUGGUUCAACUGAUCAUCACCUUCAAGUUGAGCUGACCGAACCAGAAUUAAGGUUUGUUUCGUUUAGCAGAGGAAGACGUGGCUGCAUGGGCGCGGCACUUGGGUCUGAGAUGUCUGUAAUACUACUAGCAAGGCUUCUUCAGGGUUUUGAUUGGAGCCUGCCAUCAAAUGAGGAGAAGAUUGACCUCGCUGAAUCAAAAUAUGAUCUUCUUAUGGCUAAACCGAUGCAUGCUAGUGCAAAGCCUCGGUUGGCAGCUGAGUUAUAUACCUAGCUAAUUAAACUAGAAUUAUGAUAUCGGUUAGUACAAAUAAAAAUUGAAUUGCUGGCUAGGCUUUUUUUUUUUUUUUUUUAUGUAAGAAAAAUGAUAAAGAGCCUAGCUAAAAGUGAUUGUACCGAGAUAGAAAUAACAGUAAAAUCUUAUAGUAUUAAUUAAAAAAUAGGACUCUAUUUUUUACUUAAUACUAUAAUUACACCAUAUAGUUUUAUAGAUUUUUGGCAUUAUUGUGUCAUAUACUGAGAUUUUUCGGCUCAAAUAUCAAUACUCUGUAAUACUUUAUGUAAUAAAUCUCAUAUGUAAUAAAUAAAUAGAUAAAUAAAUCAUGUCGAUCAACAUUUGAUGUUGUGCAAUAAUUCUUUCUUAGUUUAAUUACUAUUUUUCUUACUAUGCAAUUUUUUAAAAUAUAUAUCGAGAAAUGUGAUCAUUUAAAAAUCAUGACCACCUCAAUCCUACCCUUUUUAAAAAGAAUAUUUUCUUGAUUUAAAUUUUACUUGAGCAUAUGUACAAGUUAGUGAACUGUUAUUAAUAUAUAUGGUGUGUGUGUGUGUCAAGAUAUCAUCCGAAACUUUAGAAAAUUUAAAUUUACAGAGCUCCUAAAAAUUGAGUGGUGCUAGGAUUAUAAACUCUCUUUAUUCCGGAUAUCAUAAUCACUUAACUAUUGACAAUUUAUAGAUUUAGUUAAUUUUUGUUGUUUUAUUUGGUUAUUCUUUAUGCUGUAUGCUUUUAUCAUUUAUCAUGGGGCUAAUUUUAAUUAACAAUACCAAAUAGAAAUUGUCAAUAGUUAAAUGAUUAUUAUUGGUCGAAUACUAAACUCCAUAUUAUUAAAAAUAGUUUCAGUUAAUUAGGCGUUUAAGCUUUUAUCACUGAUCAACUUAUGGGUUUUGGGGAUAAUGGGCUUGGACUUAAUUAUUAGUUGUCACCGUAAAUCCCAAUGGUUUGCAUGCCUCUCCUAACUUAAUUAUAGUCAAACCCAUAUUGAUUUUUUUUAUCCUUUUACUUCUCCAUGGUUGGAAUUUGUGUAACCAACUAAACAAAAUUACUAAAAACCUCUGCAUCAAGUGUUUGGGACUAAUCAAAAUCUUAAUUAGCGUCUAUGUAAGUGAAUAAAACUUGAAACAAUUAGAUGUGAGGAAUUUGAAAAAGAGAAAUACGGUGCUCUGGAUUUUCCUCUCUGCACGGAUUCACUACAUAACAUACACAUGAAGGAUAUAUAUCAUAUAUUUCAGGAUAAUAGAGAGGACUACGCCCAUCUUUUAUAGAUCCUAAAAAUGGUGUAAGAUAACCAAAAUAAAUAAAUAAAAAAUUGUAGUAAAUUUUACAGAUAUUUUAUAAGAACUAAACAUGUAAUUCUCUAACUCCAUUGAUUAGUAUUAAAAAUUGUUGAAUUAUCAAGUGAUAAUAUGUUAUUUUAUGCUUAUGUUAUAAUUUAUAUUUAUGUUUAUGUAAUAUAUUAUGAAUUAUGAAUUAUGUUUUAAAUAUGUUUAAUUUUGUGUAUUUUUAUGUGUUUAUUAGGAAAAAUAUUAAUUUCACAUACUUCGAGGCUUCAAACAGAUAAAUGGAGGUCAAAUUUGGAUUCCGGAGGUCCGAAAACCUUAAGAUCAGUCAAGAUCAGCUUAAAAUUGGGCUUGUGUAAAAAAAGUUGACUUUUUCUGUUGACCGAGCACUGAUUGGAUGAUGAAAUGAGCUUACAAUAGAUAUGAGUGCAUGAGAUACACUACUAGAAAAAUGGUCUUUACUGACUUUAGAAUAGUGUCAGAAAUUACUUUCACUGACACUUGUUAAUUGUGUCAGUAAUCUGGGAGUCAGAAAAAUAGUGACACUUGUAAUUGGUGUUAGUGAUUACUGUUACUAUAGUAUUACCAGAUUUAUGACACUAUGGUAUUAGUAAUUACUGAUAAUGAUCACUUGUUAAAAGUUACUUUCACCAUAGUAUCACAAAAUAUUAUGACACUAUAGUAAUAGUAUUUACUAACAAUUAUUACAUGUCAAUAGUUUGUUUUACACUGGGAUAUGACAUGAUAGAAUAAACGGAUACUAAUACUUUAGUGUCAGCAAUUUGUAAUACUAUAGCAUCACUAAUAUUAUGAUGCUGAAUCAUUUUUUAGCGUUAAUGGCUUCGAUUAAAUGGUGCCGAAAUUAUUGUUGUUACUCGAUUAUUUUCAUUAUUCUUUUAGUUUUGCCAAUCAAAUAAUGGUAUUCAAAGAAAAUCUAUUCAAAUUAAACUAAAGUACAAAUUUGAAUAAUUAAAUAUAAGUAUAUAAUAUUCCUACCAACAUUUAAAUAGGUAUCAAAUAAAAUAGUAAUACAAAUAUCCAAAAUAUUGUUUGAAAACAUGUCAAAUAUUUACAUGAACACAUAAUGACAGUUUGCAGGAAACAAUCAGUACAUCUACUCUUUGAUCCUUGCCUUUCCCUUCACCUUUGCCACCUAUAAUUGCAGUAUAUAGAAUCAAUUAGCUACUAUGCUACAAAAAUCAAUUCUUUGAUAUUUACAAGCAAAAAUAUAAUUUACCUCAUUAUUGUAUGCUACAAGUAACUUUGCAACAUACAUCGCCCAUUGAUCGCGAAGUUGCGAAAAAUCGUCCAUAGUGUACUCAUUACAGCCCUUGAACUUCAAAAAUAAAGCAACAAAAUAUAUUCAUAUAUUAUAUAAUCUGUCCUAAAAUAGAAGAACACAAUAAAAACAUAUAUUUUUAAGUUUGCCAGGAUUAACAUCAAAACUGAAGAACAUGCAAAUAAAUUGUAUUACCAUAGCAAACAACGGUUACCAAAGCUGUCUAAGAAGCUGAUAAUUUAUAAUAUAUUAUUUGCUUUACUCAAUAUUACUUCUAACACUCAGCACUGGGAUUUAUAUGCUUUAUAUAUGUACAUGCAGCAGCUCCAAUCAUUGCUCAAUAAUACUUUAACACUGAACACUGAGAUUUAUAUGCAUUCUAUUUGUACAUGCAACAACUCCAGUCAUUUUGGUUUACACUAAAGUGCCUUAAAUACAUAGUAGAACACAGUAAAAAUUGGCAUUAAUUUUUCCAAACAUGUUGAAUGCAUUCAGUAAAAUGGUAUAUAGCGUUAUAGCUUUUACCUAUAAUAAAUAUGGCAAAUGAAGUGUAUGUGAUUAUCCUAAACAUACACAACACUUCCUCUAAUCCCUAGCACAAGAUAUGAUUAUAUUGCUAGUUUCAAGCAUAAAGCAGCAAACUGUUCACCCAUUAACCAUCUUUACAAUUCACUUAAGAAAAUCCAUUUGACAAUGCAUUCUUCGAACAAAUAUUAAACAAGUUUUGGAGAAACUCACAUUGUUUUCAAGAAUGCACAAAUCGCGAACAAUAUCCUGGAUGUACUUCAUCACAUAGUAACCACAUUCAAAGGUUCCAGCUUGUUUCGGACACUAAAAAAAAAUAAAUAAACUUAGUUUCAAAUAUACUGAUGAAGUAACAAUGGAAAUCAUAACUUUGUUUCAUUAAUACCUUCACAGAGACCCACUGCACAGCCUUCUUUUUAUUACUCUUCACUUGAUGCAUUGUUAUCCCACUAUAAAUAAUAAAUAACAUAUGCAACAAAUUAAUCUACAACAUAAAAAAUUAAUAAAGAAUUAAGUAAACUAAUUAAACUUACUCAUUCACCAUUUGCUUCAACUCAUCAUCAGGAUUAUCACCUAAUGGAUCAAGAUAAUAAAUUUUUCGCCUCACCAUAUCAAUUGCUACUAGCACCCAGUGGCCACUAAACAAACAAGUAAAAAAAAAAAAACAGAUUACAAGAUAAAUUUAAAUAAUUUAUGUUAAAAAAUAAAAUAGACAAAAAAUAAAUAAACUAUACCCUGGGUUAUAUGGGAAGACAAUUAUUUGGGCUAUUUGAAUCUUGUCCAAAAGGUCUGAAAUAUAGGAACACCUAUUUGGGUAGCUUGCUUGACUUGGGUGUAACUUAGCUAUGCAUCCAAAUUGAAUUGGAAUAACACCACUGCCAUUAUCCAUCUCUUCAUACAAGUGUCUAUUAAAAAAAAGAAACUUUCAUGGCAUGAAUAUAAGAAAUAAAUAAAUGACAGUUUGCAAAAUCAGAAAACAUAGUAAAAACAUAAAUCAAGUUUUUUAUUUCUUACUUGAUCCAUAUCUCCAAAACAGAAUUUGAGAGCUCUGUAAACUCAAUGACUUCAUUGCAAAUCUGCUCGUCCAAUCUGCUCUCCCAGUAGACACCAAAAGUCUUCAAAUCAUGGGCAAUCAUAAUCGUCCGUGGCAGGGAGCUCUCAAUCAUCAAAGAAAAGAUGUUCAUUUGUGAACUUUUGUUCUCUUUUCUUGCUUUCACAGCUCCACGGGUAUUCUUUCUCAGAACCAGUUUCCUUGCUGUCACUGGUUUUACAACAACGGGUUCCUUUGUUGUUCGUUUCUGUUCAUACAGAUAUACCACGGCAUUUGUAGGAGACCUUCGGCCAUCCACUUUUCUCUUUGAAGGAGUUAAUCUUGGAGAUCUUCUUGGGGUGAUUUUUGAAGUGGCUUCACAAACUACUGGGGGUGGAUUCUUUGCAGGGGAUGGCAGGGGAGGUGUGUUGAUGUUUUUGUCAGGUUUUGGACAAACAGUGGGGUCAUUGGUCACUGACUUUGGACUAACUUUGGUCACCGACUUGGGGGUAGCUUUGGGGUUGUUGUUGGUCACUGAUUUUGGGGUAGCUUUGGGGUUGUUGGUCACUGACUUUGGAGUUGCUUUGGGGUUGUUAGUCACUGACUUUGGAGUAACUUUGCUGGGUGAUCGACGAUCUAUCUCCAUCUUAACACUGCAACCACCUUUGGAGUUAGGAAAGUUGGAACUGCCAACUUCAGUGUUGUUGCAGGCGUUGAUCCUUGCAUUCAUUUGAUCUAAUUGAGCUUGCAUAAACUGAAAACUCUCCUGAUACAUUCUCCGUUCUCGCGCCAACUCCGUGGGGUCAGGGACAUUGAAAUACAUGGAUGGGGUGAUGAAUUGACCCAAUCCUUGCACCCGACUUCCAUUAGGCUUCUUUUGAAGUGCUUCACCUAGGAUAUCAUUCGGUCCUUGGGAUUGGAAUGUUCCCUGCUCAACUUGACUUCUUAGCUCACUCUACAAAAUAAAUACAAAAAUAAUUUGAUCAAAAUUAGGAAUAAAAAAAUAAAUAAGUUAAAUAAUGAUAGUGGUGGUGGAAACUUACAAUUCUCUCAGCCACUUGCUGCACUUCAGGUGUAUAAGUUCCAUCUUUUCUCCUAUGAGCCAAUAACCAGGCUUCACUGCGGUCAAUCUCGCGCUCAGUAACUCCGAGGUCCAACUGCUGUAAUAAUUCAACAAAAAUUGAAUUGAAAACUGGUAUGAAUCAUCCUAUUAUUUGUAUUGAAAAUGUCAUAAGUUUGUAUAGAGUGGUUAUUAUACUUACUCUUUUAUGCAACAACCCAGCAUAUCCUGUGCUGCCCAAGUGAUGAUUGUACAUAUUCUUUGCUCUUUUUUCCUUUGCUGCCUUACUUUUUUCCUGCACAAAGCGGAUAUUGAUUAAAAUGGUUACAUGAACUCAAUAAUAUUAUCUAACUAACAUAAUUUUAAACAUACCUGAAAGGCUUCAGAUAAAACCUUAUCAACAAAGCUCUUCCAGUCCUCUUUUCUAAUGCCUUCAUACUCAAGAGGAGGUUUUUUCAGUGAACUCAAGUUGUUUGCAUUGGGCAGAAUAUAUUCAUUGGCCAACUUACAUCUAAAGCCCCUUAAUGCAAUUCCCAUCCACUUGAAUACUUGGGUUUUUGCCUUAAGACUCAACUUAAACCUUUCCUGAAAAUGAGUCCAUAACGUCUCCUUGAUGUCUAGUGGCACUUUCCUCCAAUCAUCAUAGAUAAUUGGAACUCUUUCGCGUACAAUCACCCCAAUGUAGUUCCUCAGAUCAUUUCUCUUUUUGCCAACUAGAACUCCGUAUGAAUUGUACAUAACCUCAGUGUCGUCACUAGCUCCUCUCUGCAGGUCUUUCUUCUUUGUAAGGUUUCGUCUUGGUCUGCCUUCUAGAUCUGGAUCAAAUGUUGGCUCCUCUUUUUCUGUCAUGUCUCCAACAAACCUGCAAAUACAUCAAAGUGGAUGAGUGCACCGCAUACCAAUCUAAUAUCCUAAUAUAAUAAUAAAAUAAUAAAAAACAAAUUUGUUGGUGACUUACAGGAAGUAGUGGUAAUAAGGCAUAGUAGUUGGAUUAUUCAUUUUCCGCACCAAUAUUUACAAGAAAAACAUCAACAUCUACUCUGACACAAACUCCUCAUCACCCAAACCUAACUUACAUUCUGGAAAAUUGUUGGAUAAUGGUGCAUACUCAUCGAUGCCAUCACACAAGUCCUCAUUUGAAUAAUAACAUUUUGAGCUCACUGAACAAACAACUGAUUUACUAUUAUCUAACUGAUCUUUCACAUAAAACACUUGCUUUGCAUGACGAGCUAGAAUGAAAUAGUCAGAUUUGUAGCCUAUUCGAUCUAAAUUGACUACAGUGAACCCUAACUCAUCAACAUUAACCCCUCUAUCAUCUACCCAAUCGCACUUGAAAAGUACGUUCUUAACCCCUAGAUAAUCAAGCUGCCAAAUUUCACUGACAACCCCAUAAAAAGGCAUAUCCCCAGAAUGAGGAUUUUUGUCUUUCGAACUUGAAAUCUGUAAAGUGUUAGCAACUACAUAAACGCCACUGUUUUGUGUUAUGCGGUUGCUGUCCCGAUCUCUUGUAGCAAAAUUAAAACCAUUAAUACAGUAGCCAUCAUAUGUAACCACGCUUGAGCGGGGUUUGUUUGCCAGCCACCAUACUUUUUUGUCAACCACUACAUUAUUUGCUUUAUCAGUUGUUACCUAUUGUUCAAUUAAUAAAAUCACAAUAAUUAGUUGAAAGAGAAAAGUUUGUGUGCUUUUACUUGGAUAUUUUUAUUAGAUCUAAUGAAGUUAAUCUAACCUUUUGUUUCAGCCAAUCAGCAAACGUACGGGAGUGCUCGGUUGGCAACCAUAAAGGCUUUUUUAAUUGACGAGGGUGUGUUGAUUGCAAUAAGGCCAAAUGCUCCCUAAAAUUAUACCAACAGAAUUAUUAAAAUUGAAGAAAAAUUAACGAAAAAGAGGUUCAAAUUUUCAGUCACAUACUCUAUGUAUGGUUGAAUCUCGGGGGUGUUCACCAGAACACAUCGGUGCGCUUGCGCCAAUGUAGGGCCAUCAACCACCUUAAUAUUUGCACCUCCGAGUGGCCUUUCGACUGUAAAAUCAAUUAGACAACCAGUAGGUAGUCCGAUUGAAUUACAAUUUGAAAGGUAUUCAACACAAAAUUCAAGUGCUUCCUCGGCAAUAUAGCACUCUGCAAUGCAACCUUCAGGACGGUAUCGGUUGCGUACAUAGCCCUUUAUAGGUUUCAUUUCUCUCUCAAAUGGAUACAUCCAUCGAAGGUAAACCGGGCCACAUAAUCAAACUUCUUCAAUUAGAUGGACUGUUAAAUGGACCAUUAUAUCGAAGAAGGCAGGUAGGAAAGAUUGUUCUAAAUUGUAUAAGGUGAUUGUAAGUUCUUUUUGCAAUUGGUCUAGAGAAUUGGGCUCUACUACCUUAGAACACAAAGAAUUAAAGAAGAGGCACAACCUGAUUAUGACAGAUCUGACAUUUUGAGGUAAACAAUUUCGAAUUGCUAAUGGUAGUAGUUGUUGCAUCAAGGUAUGACAAUCAUGAGACUUAAGCCCGUGAAGACGACAAUCUUCCAUUGAAACAAUAUUUCUAAAAUUAGAACAAUAGCCAUCAGGAACUUUAACACUUUGCAAGGUUUCACAAAACAUUUUUUUUUCCUUCUUACUUAAAGUGUACGGGGCAGGGGGCAGGACUUUGUUUUGUUCAUCAGGAGCUAAUACAAUCAAUGCUUUGUUAAUUUUUUCUCUAAGGUCUGGAUGUGUAAGAUCUUUUCUAGCAUUAAUUCCAUCUUUUGUUUUCCCCGGUUGUUGGAGUAAUGUGCCAUAGAUGCUCUCACAUACAUUUUUCUCAAUAUGCAUCACAUCUAGUUGAUGGCGAACUAACAAAUGCUCCCAAUAUUCUAAAUCAAAGAAGAUUGAUCUCUUUUUGUACAGCAACUGAGCUACAUCCCCUUUACCCCCACCCUCACCUUCAAUCUCACUAUCUCCCUCACACUCACCCUCAACCUCACCCUCACCCUCACCCUCACCCUCAACAUCACCCUCACCCUUACUGUUACCCUUACUGUUACCCUCACCUUUACCCUUAUUGUGACCCUCAACCUCACCCCGUUUACGCUUUUUUNNNNNNNNNNNNNNNNNNNNNNNNNNNNNNNNNNNNNNNNNNNNNNNNNNNNNNNNNNNNNNNNNNNNNNNNNNNNNNNNNNNNNNNNNNNNNNNNNNNNCUAUGCGGUAGCCAACAUGCACAUGUGUUUAUCCCACAAACUGGACACCAUAAUACCCCUUAACAGUACACCCAGACAAGUUUCCAUAAGCUGGAAAAUCACUAAUUGUCCACAUCAACACAGCUCGUAAAUUAAAAGUUUGUUUCCUAUAACCAUCAAACACAUCAACGCCUACAUCCCAUAGGGUUUUUAAGUCCUCAAUCAAUGGUGCUAGGUAUACAUCUAUGUCAUUUCCAGGUUGUUUAGGACCAGAUAUCAGUAGAGACAACAUCAUAAAUUUUCUUUUCAUACACAGCCACGGAGGAAGGUUAUAUGUUAUCAAUGUAACAGGCCAACAACUAUAAGUAGUGCUAAGUGUGCUAUGUGGGUUAAUCCCAUCAGAUGAUAAAGCGAACCGAAGAUUUCUCGGCUCUUGGGCAAAAUCAGGCCAUUUCUUGUCAAUUAACUGCCAAGCUGGUGAAUCUGCUGGGUGGCGAAGCUUGCCAUCUCUAAUUCUUUUAUUUUCAUGCCAUGUUAAGUUCUCAGCAGUUUGUGGUGAUUGAAACAUUCUUUUCAACCUAGGAAUUAUAGGAAAAUACCAUAACACCUUUUUAGGGACCCCCUUUCUAAUUUUUUUUUAUCCAUCUUUUCUUAUUUGCCACCUAAAUGCUCCACACCUUGGGCAUUCACUAAGAUUCUCGAACUCAUUCCUAUAAAGAAUGCAAUCAUUUCGACAUGCAUGUAUUUUCUCAUAAUCUAAGCCUAAUAGCUUCAUUAUUUUUCUGGCCUCAUACAUGGACUUAGGCAAACUAUUAUCAUUUGGCAAUAUCUCAUUAAGCACUUCCAAUAAAACUGAAAACCCACUAUCAGACCAACCAUAAAGUCCUUUUAUAUUGUACAGUUUCAUUAGACUCGAUAACUUUGAAUGCUUUGAACCCGGAUAUAGGGGCUUUUCAGCAUCUUCAAGCACAUUCUUAAAAGAACUAGGAUCUUUAUGACAAUGCUCAAAAGCAUCAUGAACCAUGUCAUCUACAUAACUAUAAUCCGGACAUCUAAAACGUUGAUUUUGUGGCUGGUCUUGGCAUUUUACAGAGGUAGGUUUCCGGUCCACCUCACCAUGCCAAUUCCAAACUAAAUAAUUUUCUAGAAAACCUUUUUUAAAUAGAUGUAGCCUCACUUGUUGAGGACUCAAAAACUCCAUAUUACAUCAAGUGGUACAAGGACAUCUAAUUGACAUUCUAUUUUCAGAAUUAAGAAUGGCAAACUCCAAGAAAUCAUCAACCCCAUCACUAUACUCAUCAGACAAUCUAUCACAGAAUAUCCAAGUUUUGUCCAUAACUUGUAUUGUUACAUGUUCAUUUGUUAGAUGUUGUUAGUUUAAUAAGUUUGCUUAAAUUGCACAAAUAACUCCAAACUUUAGGUUUAAAUUAAAAAAUACAAAUUGAAAAUAAAUCUAAAUUCUAUUUGUUUAGACUCACUUAAAUAUAUGUACGCAUUCAGCAACCCAACAUAGCAUAUAUGUAAGCAUUCAGCAACCCAACAGAGCAUAUAUCUAAGUAUUCAGCAACCCAACAGAGCAUACAUGUACACAUUCAACAAGCCAACAGAGCAUACAUGUACACAUUCACCAAGCCAGCAAAUCUAACUUACAUGUACACAUUCAGCAAGCCAACAAAACAUGCCACAUCCACAUUUUUCAAAAUUUCUUUUUCAUAUUAGAACAAACAAAAGUAUAUAUUAGAAUAAAAAAAUUUAUUCCAGAACAGUCUAUGCAACAAAAACGAAAGUAAAACUAUGCAUGUCAAUAUUUAAAACAUCUCAGUACAAGUAAAACUCAGAACACAACGAUAAUAUAAAUUGAAAGUAAGUGAGUGAUUUAAAAGAAUUACCAAAUGAAGACAGCUGUUACACUGUAAACUUUUGUGAUUCUUCAAAAGCGACAGAUUGUUAAUUACUAUGUCAGAGAGCUGUACAAGGGAAAUCGCAUAAAAAAAGAUUAAGGACAAUACUUGUUGUUGUUGAAGGGUUUGCAUGUGAGAUAUUGCAUUUAUACUAAGUCUAGCAAGUACAUUACAGGGAAAGGAUUGAUGAAUUGACCCUUUGUUAAUAUGUAUCUUUAUCAAGCGCUAAUUAAAUGGAAUAAGUUAGGCCCAAAAUUAAAAGCAUCAUGCAAAAUUUAAAAUGCAAUUUCGAGAAAUGGGGAAAAUGAGAAAAACCCAAAUCUACAUUGACAUUGUAUCCAUCAAUUCCAGUUAAAGUGUACAUGAAAUUCAAAGUCCAGUGACAAGGCAACUAAAGAAAGAGACGAAAGAAAACUGAUUUGAAUCAGGCACUUAUAAAACUACUCUUAGUUAAAGACUCUAGUACAAUAAUUCAACUUUAGUUACCUUUACCUCUCUGUUAGGUUUUCCCAGGUCCUAAAUUAUAAACAAUCAAGAUUACAAAAAAAAAACUAAGAAUUUUAAAACUCAUUCUACAGUUAAACCGCAACAAAACAACAUGCAUGAGGAAAAUAGGCACUGUAAAUUGGAAACAUAAUAAUUAAAAAUAAAUAAAAAUGAAUAAAUGGCACCUUCAGAAACGAAUUUAUCGCAGUGAAGAGAGAGAGACAGAGAGAACCGAAUUGUGAUAGAAAUGAAUUCCUCUGCUUCGAGCUUGGUUGGGAUCGACGUGAAGUUUGAUUACAGUGAGGGAUAUGAUUUUAGGGUUUGGUUUACUUAGCUUUGACAGAGAAGGAGAACCGAGUGGUGAAAGACUGAUGAGUGAAUGACUUAGAACAAAAUUAGCUUCGAUUUUGGUCUUAGGCUUGUAUAAAACGAUGCGUUUUACUUAUCUUUAUUUUUCCUAAGUGAAACGAUACCGUUUUUAACUGAAAAUAUAUUAUUUACUAAUAAAUUUUCAGCCAAAACCCGCUAAAAUUUUCAAUGAGCCGCGCUCAAUACAUUUCAAGAGCUUCAUAUUAAAAUUAUAAUAUUCUACUAAUUCAGUUGCAUAACUAACAAAAGGUCAGAACGGUUUCAAUUUUAAACUUAAAUGCUUUGGCUUUGGAAAGUCCUGGGUUCGAAAAUCAGUUUGGAACGAAAUUUAUAUUUUAUUUUCUUUUACUGAUACCUUAGUGUCACCAAGAAAAAGACCAAUGGUCUUUUUCUUAAACUUAAAUGUUCCGAUGUUCGAGGUCCCAGGUUCGAAUUCCAUCUGUUACAUGAUUAGAAUUAUUUUAUUUUUAUUACUAAUACUUUAGUGUCAGCGAUUUCUGAUGUCACAAUUACAGACACCAUAGUAUCAUUAAUUUGUGAUACAUAUGUGUUAAACACGGAAAAUGGCCCAUAUGUAUACAAAUACUGAUACUUUGUAUUAAAGUGUCACAAACCAAGUGUCAGUAAAGACCAUUUUUCUAGUAGUGAUAGCUGGCAAUUUUGACUAAAUCUCAACCGUUCAUGAUUCAAUAGCCAUGAUUGUGCCACGUGGCAAUGGUUGGUGAAGCAAGUUGGAGGAUUCGAAUCUUUGUAUUCAGGUCAACCCGAUCCACCCAUUAACCUGCCAAAUCUCAACCGUUCUUUGGGCAAAUCGGACGAGUCAAACGAUGCCACGUGUGAUGUUGACUUUUGAAGUUUGACCGCAAAGCACUGGAUUAUGAAUUUAUUUUUCUAUAAAUAGAGCCUCAUUUUUAUGUUUUUAAUCAUCUUUCUACAACUCUCUUCUUCUCAAAUUCUCUCCAUCUCCUUGUAAUCUUGAUUUCCAGGUGUGUUUUUAAUAUUUUGUAUAAUUAUUUUUAUAAAUAAAAUUAGUUUAUUUCCAAUUUUAGUUGUUUUUAUUACUUUUAAUUAUAAGUAAUUCAAUUUUACUACUUCUUUUUAUUUUAAUUAUGCUUAACUAAAUAAUAUUAGUUAGGGGAAG